rnacentral:ribozyme from 12 species
UAACAAUAACAGAAAAGAAUUAAAAAAAAAAAAAAAAAAAAAAAAUCG